rnacentral:rRNA from 1 species
UACGUAGGUGGCAAGCGUUGUCCGGAUUUAUUGGGGUUAAAGGGUGCGUAGGCGGCUUAUUAAGUCAGUGGUGAAAUACUCUAGCUCAACUAGAGGGGUGCCAUUGAUACUGAUGAGCUUGAGUACAGAUGAGGUAGGCGGAAUUGACGGUGUAGCGGUGAAAUGCUUAGAUAUCGUCAAGAACACCUAUAGCGAAGGCAGCUUACUAGGCUGUAACUGACGCUGAGGCACGAAAGCGUGGGGAUCAAACAGG